GCCAAAAUCAGCUCGCCAGUUGCUUUCCGGUCGGUGUUUUAUAAAUACUGCAGACAGCCAAAGAGUGCACCGAACACUGGGAGGCCCGUUGUGAAGUUAGUGGAACUUACAAGUUCACCCUGAUCGUUAAAAGUUGUUUCAUUUUAUUUUAUUUUCUUUUUCUUUUGCUUUUACCGAUUGAUACAAAGAACGUACACAAUUUGUUUAAAAUAUAUAUAUAUAUAGUACAUUUUCUUUUUUUUUAAUGAUUUUUUUAUUAAUUACAUUAAAUCAUAUUAUAACGUGUUAAUUUAUACGUAUAAGAGAAUAUAACGUGAAAUGUAACUGAUAUGUCCUGAUAAAUUAGCUAGGACGUUAAUAGUUUUUCAUUGGUUUGGUUUGGCGAACGUUGGUUACGUGACAAUAAAGUUCAUUUAAUCAUCAACGGCGGAACCAUUUCUAUAAGUGCAAGAUGAAUUUAAUGAAGAAGGCUAUUGGUGGAUCGAUUCACAGGGUACGAGAAUUCGAGCUGGAAAAGGUUAACUUAAUUGACGAAUUUGAUAUACUUCAAAUCGUCGGUGAGGGAUGGUUCGGAAAAAUUCUUUUGACCGAGCAUCGCAGUACGCAAACUGAAAUGGUCUUGAAAGCUCUACCAAAAGCGUACACCGGCCUAUCAGAUUUUUUUCGUGAAUUCCAUUACGGGUUACAUCUAGCAGCACAUCGUAACAUCAUAACUACAUACGACGUUGCUUUCGAGACCGCUGGUUUCUACGUUUUCAGCCAAGAAUACGCACCACUGGGUGAUCUAACGUCGAACGUAACAGAGACUGGUUUGGGCGAGCUACAUGCAAAACGAGUUGCAAGACAGUUGGCAGCCGCUGUCCAUCAUAUUCACAGUCGCGAGCUUGUUCAUAGAGACAUCAAGUUGGACAAUGUAUUAGUUUUUCGAAGCGAUUUUUCUCGUAUAAAGCUUUGUGACUUCGGUGAAACCAGACGGGUUAACACUAUCGUACGAAGGCACAAUGAGUGGCUUCCUUAUUCACCGCCCGAGGUACUACAGAUCAAGACCGAUGAAACCUACAAAGCCCUGACAUCUCAUGACGUUUGGCAAUUCGGCAUUGUCCUAUUUGUUUGCCUGACCGGAUGCCUACCAUGGCAGAAAGCAGCAUUGGACGACCCACGAUACACAAGAUAUCUAAACUGGCACAAUGCAACGCUUAACAUCGCCAAGAAACCGAAAUUAUUUCAGCUGAUCAGCUCACGGGCACAGAGACUAUUUAAGAGACUGUUAGAUCCUAAGGCGGAGAAAAGGCCUGUUAGCGUGUUGGAAGUUAAUAAAUAUUUAGAAGACAGAUGGCUAGCUAAAUUGGGUGCGGAAAAAGCCUUGAAUGGUGGUGCCGAUGAAAGAGAUGAACUCUGUCCAUCAAUGUACAGUUUUCACAGUUCUUUGGAAGAAAAAAAUCAACUCCUACAUACGCUGACUACAUAUGGAAUUGAAACGACCGUUGAUCGAGCUAAAAAGAAAGACCGUAUCAGGGAAUGGAUAGAAGCUAGUGCUAUCGUAGAAGAGAAUGAAGAGGACGAAUCAGACAUUAAUGAAUGCAUAGAUGUACAAGAGUUAGAGGAUAAGGAACCAGUUUCUAUGAGAGGUAGACAUUUUCCAGAAAUGCAUCCACCAAAGAAAGAAACGUCUGAGAUGAAAAGAAGAAAGAGACGAACAGAUAUGGUAACAAAAAGGCGUUCAUCGGUUAAACCCGUUGAAAGGAAGAUACCAUUUGCUCCACAAGUUGCUGAAGAACGAGAAACCGUUGCUAGAUUUGCUAGUUUUCCUAAUGGCGACCCCAGCUUAGCAAUGAUCAAGAAAGAAGAACAAAACACUGAGCCUUUAGAACUAAAUACUGGACAAGUUAUCAAUGGAAAUAAGAUGGGAUUAAAAAAUAAUACGACUAUUGAUAAUACAAUAUCUUCAUCGGCCAAUAUUAAUGAUCAAAUCAUUGACGAUUCUCAAAAAGACAACGGUACUACUUCAAGGGACAGUUCUGUGCCAACAACUAGUGGAAAUCACGGUAGCAAUGGUUCAUCAAUUGACGUCACUGUAGAAAGAACCUAUUCAAUACCUAGAAACAGUGCUGUCAAUGGGAAAGCUCACGUUGAAAUUCCUCAAACUCCAACGAGAAAGCAUCGUGCAAAGACAACGCCUUAUUCGGAGACUUCAACACGUACGAGUGAAACAAAGUUAAACGAAUCAACGAAAAGAAGUCAAUCUGUCAGUGCAUUAACAACAACUCAAUCAGAGAGAUCGCCCUUAAUUGAUAACAAAAUUGUUAAAGGUACAAUUCAAAGGGUCUCGUCUAUCGUUGACAAAGCUACAAAUGAUUUUGUUAAAAGAGUAUCAGAGUCACCUACCUCUUUGACAUCGUCAGAUAUUCAAAAGGAUGUACAAUCGACCGAACAAAAAGAAAAAUUAACAAUUGUACAAACAACGAAUCCAUUGUCCAUGCCAAUUGCAUCUCAUUUAGUGAUGCAAAGUUUAAAUGCUUUACAAAGUGUCAGUAAUACUACAUUACCUCCUGAUGUUUUGCCAUCACGUCCAACGGAAAAAAUGUCAUCAAUGAAAUCAAAGCAAACAACGUCGAAUGUCAAUACUUUCGUAUCUGGUAAAGAUGUUUACGAACACUAUGGUAUCGCACAAGGUGUUAUCAUUAAAACUGAAGCUCCUAUUCAUCGUGGUUCCAUCGGUGGUAGCACUAGUAGAUCGAAGCAUUCUAAAUAAGACAUAAAUGAAAAGUUUAUCAACCUCAUGUCGGUUCGUUUUUACAAACGAUUGUUUUGAGCCAAUGGAAGUCCGACUUCGAAAUGUAGAAAGAUUCUACUUAUUACAUAAUAAUACCUGUCGGUUGGCUAAGACAGUAAUAUUAUUAGCAUGUUUUAUGAAAAAGAAAAUUACUUUCAUCGCAUAGAAUUUUUUUUUAACAACGAGAAAUGUUAUUAAUCAAACGAAGGAAAGCUCUUGAAAUAACGUCAAUUUUAUUAUCAAAAAAGAUGAGUAUAUUUUAAUAAUAAUUAUUUGUAAGUUUAAUAUGUCAGAUAUCUCGUUGUACAUAUAUGAUUGACAAAUUUUAAAUAGUCU